GAUGAACGCUGGCGGCGUGCCUAAUACAUGCAAGUCGAGCGAACGGACGAGAAGCUUGCUUCUCUGAUGUUAGCGGCGGACGGGUGAGUAACACGUGGAUAACCUACCUAUAAGACUGGGAUAACUUCGGGAAACCGGAGCUAAUACCGGAUGAUAUUUUGAACCGCAUGGUUCAAAAGUGAAAGACGGUCUUGCUGUCACUUAUAGAUGGAUCCGCGCUGCAUUAGCUAGUUGGUAAGGUAACGGCUUACCAAGGCAACGAUGCAUAGCCGACCUGAGAGGGGGAUCGGCCCCCCGGGACCUGGGACCCGGUCCGGCCCCUGACGGGGGGCAGCGUAGGGGAAUCUGCCGCAAUGGCGAAAGCCUGACGGAGCAACGCCGCGUGAGUGAUGAAGGUCUUCGGAUCGUAAAACUCUGUUAUUAGGGAAGAACAUAUGUGUAAGUAACUGUGCACAUCUUGACGGUACCUAAUCAGAAAGCCACGGCUAACUACGUG
rnacentral:rRNA from 1 species